UUUCACUCUAGGAAGAGCUUCUGAUCCUUCCUUUUAUCAACACCAACUUUGAGAUGGACAAGAUUUCCAGCUGUUCCACAUCCAGAAGCUGACCAGACUGACCGCCGAAUCUUCAAAAUUAGUGAAAAGACAGCUUCCUCCAUUGCACCCAAGGAUAGCAGGCUAGCUUGAAGAUAAAGGUAAAGGGACCCCUGACUGUUAAGUCCAGUUGCGGAUGACUCUGGGCUCGCAGCACUCAUCUCACUUUACUGGCCGAGGGAGCCGCCGUUUGUCCACAGACAGUUUCUGGGUCAUGUGGCCAGCAUGACUAAGCCACUUCUGGCGAACCAGAGCAGCGCACAGAAACACCAUUUACCUUCCCAGCGGAGCGGUACCUAUUUAUCUACUUGCACUUUGACAUGCUUUCAAACUGCUAGGUGGGCAGGAGCAGGGACUGAGCAACGGGAGCUCACCCCAUCGCAGGGAUUCAAACUGCUGACCUUCUGAUCAGCAAGUCCUAGGCUCUGUGGUUUAACCCACAGUGCCACCCACAUCCCAGCAGGCUAGCUUAGGACAGGCCAAAUGACACACACUGCCCUGCCCUCCAUCACCUCACCAUUGUCUCCAGCAUCUGCUGUUCGAGGCAGCCACUUCACUCUGGCUAAUGUUAGGGCUGGCCCUAUCUUUUUUAGAAAAGCAGCUGUGAUGUUCUGUGUUAGGUACGCAGUCUAUCAAUCAGGACAGCGAGGCCCAGUUACUGGUGAGGUAUACUUACCAUUUCCUUAAAGCUGGCUCCCAUCUCACCAGCUUUCCAAGAACCCCAAGCUCUUUGUGCAGGUGCCCCAAAUUGUGAGCCACCAGAUAAGAGCAACCUCCCCAAGCCCAGUGCCAUCAGAUGUUGUUGGAUUGCAACACCCACAAUCCCUGACUAUUGGCCACACCAGCUGGAACUGAUAGGACCUGCGGUUGAUAAAACCUAGAGGACAUCAGGUGGAGGAAGGUUGGGCUAGAGCAGCCUUUCUCAACCUGUGGGUCCCCAGAUGUUGUUGAACUACAACUCCCAUCACCCCUAGCUAGCAAGGCCAGAGCUCAGGGAUGGUGGGAGUUGUAGUUAAACAACAUCUGGGGUCCCACAGGUUGAGAAAGGCUGGGCUAGAGCAUUUGCCCUGACAGGGGAUGGGUUCCAGGUACUGGGCUGGCCAUUUGCUCACCCAGGCUAGUUAUUGGUCCAUUUCAACAAGAAGGGCAAAAAGGCCGCCUCUUCAACCUGGAACUUUGCUUGUGUAAUGAUUAUAUUUCCUGAUUAUUACUUGUUUCAGCUCUUGGCUUGUUCUGUGACUCAUCACCUUCAGCAGGUGCUUACAGCGAUGCCCAGUUAGUAAUGUCUGAAGAACAGAAGGAUAGGCAAUUGGACAGGAAGUCCCCAUGACACUCCACCUCCAGCUUUCAUCUUCUGACAACUGAGAAAGUCUCUUUCAUCUCCCUUCACUCAGAGCUGUAAAACUUUUAUAUAAGUUGAUUUCAUGCAAUAUUAAGAGGACGUUUGUUUGCUUGGAUGGAGCAGGGGUGUGAGACUUGUAACAAAUGGCUUUCCACUGUGCUCACAUCUGAAAAAACCAGCGGAACUUAAUAGUGGAGUUUGUUCUAGUUCGGCUCAUGAGGAAGAUUUUUUUUUUAUUUAAAAAAAAAAAGGAUUUGGGGACCAAGCUGUGGGAAAUAUUUUGCAUUUGUGGUGUUUCCUGUACUGCUUUGUCUGCUGUCUUGCCAUUUACAAAAUAUUAAUUUCAUCGAAUCCUAUGAGUUUGAAGGGACUCCAGCAUUCAUCCAGCCCAGUCCCCUGCCAAUUGAGGAAACGACAUAUUUUAAAUGCAUUGAAUACAUGAAGAAUAUUUGGCUUCAUUUUUUUAUAUGCAUUUCAGUUCUUCCCCUCUCCUUGUCAUCAAGAUCUCUGAAUUUCUGCUUCUGAUAAAUGUUGCUCAGACAUGCACCAAUUGUUUUACAGGUGACAUACCAGCAAAUAGGAUUCUUGGCUUGCAUUUUCUUUCAACAGAGCUGUAAUGUACAAAAUGAAAUUUGUCAGGUGCCUGGUAUUUUUCCCCCCUACCCCAGGAGUAAAUGCAAUGGGUCCAUUUGAUUUCUGACAGCCUUCAUUGCUGCUUUGUUAGUCUCCCUUGCAAUUUGUUCACUUAAUGCAAUGGCACUGACACCUAAACGCUAAAUAAUAAAUGGUAAUACAGUAAACUGGCAUGUUCUAAAUAAAGAAAAUGGUUUUCCUCUUUAUUUUUUCUUGCUUAGAGGGACAUGGAUGGCUACAAGGAAGCUCUAGGCUUGCUGUGGGGUCAUACUGCUUCGCUUUCAGCAACAAACUAUUUGCUCCACCUUCAGUCUCACAAACGGAGAGAUCAUGAAACAGAAACUAAGGACCACAUCUAGACUGUCAGUAUCUUGCAGGAGGGACUCAAGGGCCUGCUGGGAAAUAUAGGUUUGUGCAAUUAAUUAAUUAAUCAAUUUGGCAGCCCUCCACUGAUAUUUCCAGUACCUCUGACCUGGAUUAAAGUGCUCUGUUGCGCAAGCCCAACAAAUCUACUUCUAAAAAAGAACUGCCUUCUUGCGGUUAGGAAAGUGACAGGGAAAUGCAUUGAAAAGUGAGAAAUUAACAAAUGAUUAACAGGAAAAGGUAUCAACACCACACAAGCGAAGCUGAUUGCCAAGCACUCUGGAAGACAAAUGAUUGUCGCUGAGCACUUCUAAGCAAUGACUUGUUUUUUUUAAUAGCUCCUUAAAAAAAUAAGAGGCUCCUGGGCUGGUUCAAAAGGCUUUACAGGACAGUUCCAGUCCACAGACAAGUGUUUCUCCACCACUAGUGUAUCUUAACCGUGCCAUGAACUGCGAGGGAGAGCAACUCCUUUUAGUCAUCAGACAAAACCCCAACCAAAACUAGACUCUUGCUGAUAAAUUGCGAGCAGAGCAAGCAGAAGCCGGUGUCGAAGCCGCAGCUGAACAGGAAUCCAAUGGAAGCAAAGCAAAGUCAAGGUGGUAAUUGCUGGAGAAGCAGAUCCGGCGAGGGGGCGAGAGGUAAGCACUGUGGUUUAAAACACCCGUGGCCACGCCCCCACCAGCACUGAUUGGCCGGGUGGGUGGGCAGGACAUCACAUGGCUGGGGCUGGCGCGAGGGAGGCGUCAAUUCCCUGACCCCGACCUGGAUCACUGUGAGGAUAAUAAUAAUAAUAAUAAUAAUAAUAAUUUUAUUUAUAUCCCGCCCUAUAUUAUAAGCCGAAGUCGGGCUCAGAGUGGCUAAUAACAGUAAAAAUAACACCGUUUACAUAAAAUCACAAUCAAUUACUGUAUUUUUCGCUCUAUAAGACGCACCAGACCACAAGACGCACCUAGUUUUUGGAGGAGGAAAACAAGAAAAAAAAUAUUCUGAAUCUCAGAAGCCAGAACAGCAAGAGGGAUCGCUGCACAGUGAAAGCAGCAAUCCCUCUUGCUGUUCUGGCUUCUGGGAUAGCUGCGCAGCCUGCAUUCGCUCCAUAAGACGCGCACACAUUUCCCCUUACUUUUUAGGAGGGAAAAAGUGAGUCUUAUAGAGCAAAAAAAAUCGGUAAUUGAAAUACAUUCUAAAAUCAAUUCAUUCUAAAAUCAGUUCAGAGUCAAAUUAAUGGCAACCAUUGGGCUAGAGAUUACAAAAGGAGAGAGGGGGUCAGACUGUGCCUUGCCUUGGCCAAAGGCCUGGUGGAACAGCUAUGGAUGCCCAGCCACAACGCUGCCCACCGCAAAAGGUGAGCGGUCUUGUUACACUCUUGUGUUCCUCUUGUGGGCUUUCUAUGGGCAUCUGGUUAGCCACUGUGAGAACAGGAUGUUGGACUCGAUGGGCCUUUGGCCUGAUCCAGCAAGGCUGUUCUUGCAUUCAUGCCCCAAGGGAGAUUCAAUUAGGUAUAUCUCCAGGCAUCAACAGCAUCAUGUCUCAAAUUAGGGUGAUUCCUGAUACCCCACUUGAAGUGAUGUGUGUGUGUUUCAUUGCACACCAAAGAUUCACUGUAGAUCUUUUAUUUUCCCAUUGCUGAUGUGUUUAUACAUUCAGGGCCAGACUAGCAGGAUGAGUGAGUGAAUGUAUCUCUGUCUCACUUUUUAAAUUGUUUUCAAAUAGCAACUUUGGGGUCCUCCCAAUCUGGAUUUAAACUAUGACACGUGAGAGGGGAAGGGAGCUUUAACCUCUUCCUACUGGAGCAAUUUGUAGCAUAGGGGUGAAAUUUUCAUCAGAAAAAAUAGAGUAGGGAAAAAGAAUAACCCCCUCCCCUCUGCCACUGUCCUGAUCUGGAUCAAUACCCUCCUUCCCCUUCCCUGCUCUGCUGAAGCUGCUAUUUGAAAAAAGGGGGUUUGGCCCUUAAUGAGGAAUUAGAACAAACUCACUGCCUGCCCUGAAUGGGUUAAACUACCUUUAAUUGCAGGUGAUGAAUAUUAAACAUACACAGAAGAUAAGAAGAGCUGUUAAAAAUAAAGAGAGUCAUCUCUUUUUCUGCAAAUCAAGUCGGUAAUAAUGUCGGAAAAAUCUGAAAAUGAGUGCAAGCGCUGCCGACUGUUACUCAGAGCAAAGAAUUAUUGAUCCUUGGCUGUCUCUAUUGAUUUUAUGUCACUUCUGUGAUUUAAUCAUGUUUUUCCUUGUUAUCUCUUUGCAGCCUUUUCUUCUAUUGUCUGGCAGAAGAACUCAGCCAAGGCCUUUUCAGUCUGUGAUGACGGCGAUCAAAAUAACUUUGACUUCCAUUUGCAUUGUUUUCAAGAAAUGAUUAAACAAUCCCAAGGCAUCAAGACCCCUUUGUGCCUCUGUGACAUGCCAUGCAGAAUGGAGAAUUGAAAACACUUUCAGAAGGAGAGGGGGCUGUCACUUUUCUUAGAAAGAUUUAGAUAACCUGGUAAAUCCUCCUCUGGUUUGGACGGCAUAUUGCUACGAAGAGAUUCAGCAGUCUGCUUAUAUUCGGAAGUGCUUUCAGCUGAAACACCGGGGCCUCAUUUAGCAGGAUGCUGAGUGCAUGGAGAGUGUGUG